GGGUGUGUGGCGUAAUGGAUAACGCGUCUGACUUCGGAUCAGAAGAUUCCGGCUUCGAGUCCCGGUGCACCCC
rnacentral:tRNA from 1 species